rnacentral:rRNA from 1 species
AGAACGAACGCUGGCGGCAGGCUUAACACAUGCAAGUCGAACGCUCGUAGCAAUACGGGAGUGGCGGUCGGGUGAGUAACGCGUGGGAACGUGCCCUGAGGUACGGAAUAACUGAGGGAAACUUCAGCUAAUACCGUAUGAGCCCGAGAGGGGGAAAGAUUUAUCGCCUUGGGAGCGGCCCGCGUCGGAUUAGCUAGUUGGUGGGGUAACGGCCUACCAAGGCUUCGAUCCGUAGCUGGUCUGAGAGGACGAUCAGCCACACUGGGACUGAGACACGGCCCAGACUCCUACGGGAGGCAGCAGUGGGGAAUCUUGCGCAAUGGGGGCAACCCUGACGCAGCCAUGCCGCGUGAACGAUGAAGGCCUUAGGGUUGUAAAGUUCUUUUACCCGUGACGAUGAUGACGGUAACGGGGGAAUAAGCUCCGGCUAACUUCGUG